rnacentral:rRNA from 1 species
UACGUAGGUGGCUAGCGUUGUCCGGAAUCAUUGGGCGUAAAGCGCGCGUAGGCGGCCCGGUAAGUCCGCUGUAAAAGUCAAAGGCUCAACCUUUGAAUGUCAGUGGAUACUGCCGGGCUAGAGUCCGGAAGAGGCGAGUGGAACUCCUGGUGUAGCGGUGGAAUGCGUAGAUAUCAGGAAGAACACCGACGGCGAAGGCAGCUCGCUGGGACGGUACUGACGCUGAGGUGCGAAAGCGUGGGGAGCAAACAGG